ACGGGGGGAGCGAGCGUUGUUCGGAUUUACUGGGCGUAAAGGGCGCGUAGGCGGGUCUUCAAGUCGAAUGUGAAAACCGACGGCUUAACCAUCGGCCUGCAUUCGAUACUGGAGACCUUGAGUACGGGAGAGGAAAGUGGAAUUCCUGGUGUAGCGGUGAAAUGCGUAGAUAUCAGGAGGAACACCGGUGGCGAAGGCGGCUUUCUGGCCCGAUACUGACGCUGAGGCGCGAAGGCCGGGGGAGCAAACAG
rnacentral:rRNA from 1 species